rnacentral:ncRNA from 1 species
CAAAGAUUUGGUCCUAAUCUUAAUGUUACUUUUUACUAAACCUACACAUGUAAGUAUCAGCAAACCAGUGAAAAUGCCCUAAAAGUCACAUCAGACAAAAGGAGCUGGUAUCAGGCACGCCAUGACAGCCCAAGACACCUUGCUUUGCCACACCCCCAAGGGUACUACAGCAGUGAUUAACCUUAAGCAAUAAGCAAAAGCUUGACUUAGUUAUAGUAAAACACUUUAGGGCUGGUAAAUCUCGUGCCAGCCACCGCGGUUAUACAAGAAGCCCAAAGCAACAAUAAUACGGCGUAAAAUGUGGCUAAACCAAAUCCACCAAAAAUCUAAGGCUCACCUACACCAAACUGUCAUACGUAAAGUAUUAAUUAAACCAAUACGAAAGUAGCCCUAGUAUACAAGACUAUUUGAACCCACGAUCGCUAAGGCACAAACUGGGAUUAGAUACCCCACUAUGCUUAGCCCUAAACUUAGAUAUUUAAAACACAAAAAUAUCCGCCAGAAAACUACGAGCAAAACGCUUAAAACUCCAAGGACUUGGCGGUACCUCAAACCCCCCUAGAGGAGCCUGUUCUGUAAUCGAUAAUCCACGAUAAACCUCACCAUCCUUUGCCAACUCAGCCUAUAUACCACCGUCACAGCCUACCUUAUGAAAGCUAAAAAGUAAGCCAAAUAGCUCCAACAGCUAACAAGCCAGGUCAAGGUGUAGCUAAUUAAGAUGGAAGAAAUGGGCUACAUUUUCUACUAUAGAAAUAACUACGGAGCAGAACCAUGAAACAUGAUCUAGAUAAAGCAGGAUUUAGUAGUAAAUUGAGAACAGAGAGCUCAAUUUAAAACGGACCUGAGGUGCGCACACACCGCCCGUCACCCCCAUCAACAAUAAUACUAACCGUAAAUAACACCCCAUAGACAAAAACAGAUGGGGUAAGUCGUAACAAGGUAAGUGUACCGGAAGGUGUACUUGGACCA